CAGCCGCCGCGGUAAUACGUAGGGUGCAAGCGUUAACCGGAAUUACUGGGCGUAAAGCGUGCGCAGGCGGUGUUGUAAGACUGAUGUGAAAUCCCCGGGCUCAACCUGGGAACUGCAUUGGUGACUGCAACGCUGGAGUGCGGCAGAGGGGGAUGGAAUUCCGCGUGUAGCAGUGAAAUGCGUAGAUAUGCGGAGGAACACCGAUGGCGAAGGCAAUCCCCUGGGCCUGCAUUGACGCUCAUGCACGAAAGCGUGGAGAGCAAACAGGAUUAGAUACCCCCGUAGUCCCUGUCUCUUAUAC
rnacentral:rRNA from 1 species